GACGAACGCUGGCGGCGUGCCUAAUACAUGCAAGUUGAGCGCUGAAGGUUGGUACUUGUACCAACUGGAUGAGCAGCGAACGGGUGAGUAACGCGUGGGGAAUCUGCCUUUGAGCGGGGGACAACAUUUGGAAACGAAUGCUAAUACCGCAUAAAAACUUUAAACACAAGUUUUAAGUUUGAAAGAUGCAAUUGCAUCACUCAAAGAUGAUCCCGCGUUGUAUUAGCUAGUUGGUGAGGUAAAGGCUCACCAAGGCGAUGAUACAUAGCCGACCUGAGAGGGUGAUCGGCCACAUUGGGACUGAGACACGGCCCAGACUCCUACGGGAGGCAGCAGUAGGGAAUCUUCGGCAAUGGACGAAAGUCUGACCGAGCAACGCCGCGUGAGUGAAGAAGGUUUUCGGAUCGUAAAACUCUGUUGGUAGAGAAGAACGUUGGUGAGAGUGGAAAGCUCAUCAAGUGACGGUAACUACCCAGAAAGGGACGGCUAACUACGUG
rnacentral:rRNA from 1 species